AUGGCGUCGGAUGGAUCGGCUUCAGCAACGGCUGCGGGAGCAGACCCCGCCGACGAGAUCGAGAAGAUGAUGGCAGAGCUGGGGCUGCGUGAGGAAGAUCUGGAUGAUGUUGUCUAUGAUGAGAAAGAAGCUCCGCCUGAUGCGAUGCGAUGGACAGCAGUGGUACGUGUGCAUAUCGGCAAGUCAUACAGUCAGUACUGGUUCUUCAAGAACAUGCGGGCGGCCUGGGAUCUUGCCCAAGAUUGCAAAUUUCGUCCACUGGAGGACAACCUCUAUACGGUGCAAUUCUUUUGUCUAGGAGAUUGGGAGCGUGUGAUGCAAGAUGGUCCGUGGCAUUUCCGGGGAAACGCAGUAAUAAGCACGCCCUAUGAUGGAGUGACGCAACCAUCUAUGGUGCCCCUUGAGACUCUUGACAUAUGGGCUCAGAUACAUGAUGUUCCAGACAAGUAUGCGCAUCUUGUUGAGGCGUUGGCAGGCAAGGUUGGAGAGGUUUUGUUCAUAGAGAAACGGUCCCAAGAUUUUGCCGGAAACUUCUAUCGAGUUUGGGUUAAGAUAAAUGUCUUUAAACCGCUCAAGAACGUUGUCUCGAUGAUCGGGGACGGCAGGAGACAGAUUUAUAGGGUGAAGUAUGAAAAGCUCCCCGAUUGGUGUGCGGUCUGUGGCCACUUGGGCCAUGUCUACAAGGAGCAUGGAGACGGCAUGCAUGCCCCAAGUUCUCUGUACUUCAAGGACCUGCGCGCGUCCUGGUCAAUGCGCACUACUACUGGCUCGGGCGGUGGAAGAGGACGUAGUGGAGGAAGGGGAAGCCGUGGUGGUCGCAAUAGUGCAAGGGGUGGAAGGUACAGCGAUACGGGAGCGUCUGAAGCUGUCCAGGAAAGAGACACUACAGGGUACGAUGAUACUGAUAUGCUGGAGGGGAACCGGAAAAGGGGAGAUAGAAGCGAUCUUAACUUGAUCAACAAAAACCUGCUUGAGCCUAACGUCAAUCAGUUGGCAAUAGUUCCGGCAGGGGCAAAUCCAGUGAAACCCAACGCGAAUUUACAAGGAACCCCUCAUGCAGAUGGAGCGCCACAUGCAAGGGCCUUGGCACCUCCAACGAGCUUCGCGAAAAUCCACGUCGACGGCGCAGUUUACAGGGACCGACGCGGAUCAGCUGUUGCAGUGUGCCGUGAUGAAGCUAGAGACUAUCUUGGAAGCUCAGCAUUGGUUAUCGAGGACCAACAUGACCCGGCGACGCUAGAGGCGAUUGCUUGCAGAGAAGCAUUAGCCUUGGCUGAAGAUCUUCUUCUCCAACAUUUUGUUGUCUCCUCCGACUGCAAACAGGUGAAGCAUCAAGUUCAUGGCCAUUCUGUUACACACCCUCUUGAGUGCACUGAUCAAAACCUCCUUAAACUCUUCAUUAAACCCUCUCAUAAUCAACUAGCGGGACAUGAGACUGAUCACUUCACUAUAGCUCAAGAGGAGAAAUUUGCACUUGCUGAGGUGAAAAGUGUUCAUGAGCAUGUGUGCCAAUUUUUUGUUCAAGCUACAAAACUCAUCACAAUCAUAGCACUGAUCACAACACAUGCCUCCCCGCAGCUGGUCCAGGCUUCCGGACGGCGUCUGACAGCAGCGACGCACGGACGUAUAUCGUACCGGAAUCCUCCAGCAGCAUCUUGCGCUGCCGCCGACAGCCGCACCACCUGCGGCUCCAUUGUCGCCGUCCGCAGGGGCUCGAAAGACAGUGUCCCCUUCGGCCCCGCGCCGGCGCUGCCCCCUUCUCCGUCCUCCCGCGCAGCCGCGGAGCACUAG
rnacentral:rRNA from 1 species